UGGCUCCGGCCUCGAUGAAGAACGCAGCGAAAUGCGAUAAGUAAUGUGAAUUGCAGAAUCCAGUGAAUCAUCGAAUCUUUGAACGCACAUUGCGCCCCUCGGCACUCCGAGGGGCAUGCCCGUCCGAGCGUCAUUGCACCUGUCAAGCUCCGCGCUUGGUGUUGGGCCGCGUCCUCCCUCCCCGGAGGCCGGGCGGGUCUCAAAAGCAGUGGCGUCCCUCUGCGACUCGUCGGCGCGAUGGCAUCCCCGUACGCCAGGCCGAGUCGUCCAGGAACCACGCCAGGCAACCCCUGCAUCUGUAACGGUUGACCUCGGAUCGGGUAGGGAUACCCGCUGA
rnacentral:misc_RNA from 1 species